CUUAUCGGGCCGCUCGGCAGACGGGCUCGCGGCCUCGCCGGACUCCUCUCUCCCCUGCCUCCGGCGGAUCGCGUCGUGUCGCCUCGCCGCAACCAAGCUCCCCACGACGACCUACCGUUCUCUUCUCCGGUGUAUACUGCCCGGGAUUUCACUGGGCAAACUCAUGAGCAUGGCGGAGGAAGAUGGCUAUAGUUCACGGUGCGACCUGUGCGAUACAGAGGUCAUACACAGCAUGGCAGAACUCCUGCUUCGUGGAUUGGCCACAGCUUCGGUGGACAGCACUACCGGCGAUAUAUUCAAGAGCGCAUCUUCUGUAGCUGUCGCUGUGAAGACCGAGCUAGAAAAUUACCUGCUUGUGAGAACUGAAGCACUUAUUCGUGAAUCUGUGGAUGGAGGAGAGGACCAUUCGGAUAAAUUAAUGAAGGCCUCCACCAGGCCGACUGAGUUCCUGUCAGACUUGAUCGAUGAUUUUGUUGCUUCCAAAAGGAACGUGCUGAGCCAUGUGUCUGGAUUUUUGUCCAGUGAAAGCCGCUUGAGCAAAAUUAACGAUUUUAUGCAAAAGAUGGAGAUGGAGAAUGUGUGGGCACUGGAUGUAAGGAAGGCUACUGCAGAGACUAUUCUAGAAAGCAUAGACAUAAAAUGCAUUUUCCAUUGCCCCGAGAGAUUUGUUGAGCAAAAUGAGCUAGCUGAUCACAGAAGUCAGUGCAAGUUUAGGGUAGUGAACUGCAAAAACGAUGGGUGUUCAGCUUCAUUUUCUGCUAUUCAUAUUGAGGAGCAUGACUCCAUCUGUCCGUUUAAAGCCCUGCCAUGUGAUCAGCUGUGCGACCAACAUGUUAUGCGUUGUGAGAUGGACAAACAUUGUGCAACAGUUUGCCCCAUGAAGCUUAUUAACUGUCCUUUUUACCAAGUUGGAUGUGAAACAGCCUUUCCACAGGGUAAUCUUGAUAAUCAUUGUUCGAAGUUACUUCAAACCCAUAUGCUGUAUGUUCUCCAAGCAACUACAAGACAGAAUGCAACCGUUGAUGAUAUGAAUCAACGGUUACAACUCCUUGAGAAGGCUCAGUCACUUAACAAAAUGUCUGGGGCUUUAGAUGUCAGGUCCCUCACUCUGAUAACAAAGGAGCAAGAAGCAAAGAUCAAAAAACUCGAGCGCGAUAUCAAAACACAAGAGGCAAAGAUCAAGAAGCUUGAGAAUGAGUUUAGGUCAAGGAAUGCAUGAUAACUGCCGUAAUUCUAUAUGAAUUAGACAAACCAGUUAUAUGUCAAUGCAGGGUAGAUCUUGUACUCAAAGAUGCUAAGAUGGUAUUGGUCUAAAAAAUGGUCAUGAAGCAGCCUUGUUGCAUUCUGUGCUGGAAUAUCUCCAUGAUUUGAAGCCUCUUGUUUGUGCAGAUGCAGUUUCCAUAGGUGGCUUUCCACCACAGCUUUUCUUGGAUGUCUCCACAACAUCGUUGGCUUGGGUGUUUUCCAGAUUUGGGAUGUGAUCACAACCACCCUGUAAAAUCAUGCAAACCUGUUUGCACUGCACUUGUAUAUGUGCAUGGCACUCUGUACGUGAUUUUGGUAUGCAAGUUUUCACGGUGAAGAUGCCAUCACAAUCUCAUCACUGUCGUGACCAUUUGACUCGGAUUUGAGGAAAUAAUCACAAGCAGCCUCCAAAAUUUUGCAAACUUCUCUCCUGUACUGCAAAUGGUGUUUUUGAAAAGAUCAGUAUUGGUUUCUCUAUUUAAUCUUUACACAAUUUUAAUGGUCAAUAUAACUAGAUGGUUGUGUGGUGCAGAGCAACUUGGAGUCACCUUAUCAUAUUUAUGUCACAUUCCUAAUUUGACAGUCUAAAUUAUUGUCCUUCCAUUUUCUUGUGUUACGGAGCUGUGAAAUAUCAGUGAACCCUCGUGUUGCCAGUACAUAUUCUUUAGCUAGUCCCCAUAUCAAGGGUGGUGUUGCAUACCUCAUCAGUUGCACCAGAUUUUAUUCUGGACUGUAAUAUGCACCAUUUCUUCAUGUUUACCCCUAUUAUGUGCACAAAAAUAAUGCAUAUUAUCGGAAAUAUGUUCUGCUGAAUAGAUUUUAUGGAAGUACAGUUCAACUAACCGAUCUUUAUAUUUACUUGGCAUGUUGAACUGGAGGUUGUUCUUAGCGACCACCUGCUGUGGAUCUGUAAGAAAGGGAAGAACUUCUGCUAGAUAAGUCAUAUCAGAAUCAUGAAAUGGAUUAUACAUCAGAAGAAUUUGCCAAACAAAGUGGGAUGCUCACACUGGUUACAUCUGCAAGAACAUGUUUGUUGAUGAAAGGCUGGAAUGUUAUAGACUUUUCAAUGUUUUUUCCUGGUGUCUUUGUGCUGUCUGUUUUGCUACCGAGUACACUGUUACUUUCUUUUUGUAGAAGUACAUGUGCUCUCACCUGCUUGUGGGAUAACAAGCAUAAAUAUAAGGUCAUUUCCACAAGACGAAACAGAAAGAUAUGGGAUAAUACCUGUUUUUCAGCUUCCAAGGUUGCUUCAUAACUAUAUGCUCAACACAAAUCUCUUAUGAUAGUUUUCCAGCAUGGAAGCUGAAAAAACAUGGCACAGAUGUUAUAUCUAGGAGGUAUUGUGAUGUUGCUGUGUCUCCUACUGGUUUACUUGUGUACAGGAUCAGGAGUACUUCAUCUUGAAAAUGGAACGAGGUGUUCCACUUCCAUGUCCACCUGCACCAGCAUUAAGAAAAAUAGUAAUGGCUGGGUUGAUAAGAGAAUGCUGGCUUCUUUUUAUCUGCGGGAUAAAUUGAUUUGUAUGUUAGAUAUUUAAACCAAAAGAAAGCAGAGACUAAAGCCAGAAAAGGGGUACAUGGGUUGCAUACCUCGUCUAUGUCUUGUAAUGGUAUAAUCACCUAGAAAAAAUGCAGAUAUUAUAGAAGGAACUCAAUGAAAAAUUACUCUAAAUUUUGUUGU